rnacentral:lncRNA from 1 species
UUAUUUCACUCCAAAGUUGUGUAAAACAAUAUGUUUUGGGUUAUGUGACAUAUAUUCUUAUCUAUAUCUAUAUCUAUAUCUAUAUCUAUACCUACUAUUAAAGAGGAUAGAUAUUCUUGGUUUGGUUUCACUUUAUUUCAUCCCGUUAUGAGGCUUUUGUCCGGUUGAGCAAAUCGAACGUACAAACAGACGUACGCUCAAAACUAACAAGAGCCGGCCGGCCGGCCCAUAUCUCUAUUUUUAAAUUGCCAAACAAACGAAGCUGCCGGCCCGUAUCGAUGAAGGAAGGACCCACUGCGUACGGAGGCAGCGCCGCUGGCUGGCUUCCUUACAUGAGUCCAAAUCCUGGUCCUAUUCCUAUUCCUAUUCCUACUCCUAUUUAGAUUCCUACAGGAGUCCGAAACCUACUUAGAGGCGGGGAUCGUUGGUGCUACAAAUACAUCCUAUCUCCAGUGAUUUUUCAUGUGACACAAUCCCAGGUUUUGGUUCAAUUAACUUGCCAGUUUCACGCGUCGUCACCUUCGGUUCAAUUAAGCUCAGCUUUACAAUUAACCUGCCAGUUUCACAGGUUGUCACCUUCGUUUCAAUUAAGCUCUUUGACAAGUCAGCUUUACAUCAGGUAUUUUUGUUAACUGUUUCCAUAUACGACAUCCUUCAACAUGUCUAUGAACACUGGUACCUGUAAUGAAAAAAUUACAUUUAUCAUCAGCAAUUUGGAUUAUCCAAACAAGUAGUAUAUCAAAGUUUACUUUGAGCGACACAUUGAAUCAUAUUUAAACACCAUUAUUGACAAGGAAAAAAUAGAUGCAAUGAUUGGACCAGAAUUUAAGUGUUCUGGUGGCACUAACCUCAUCUACUUUCAGUCUGGCUUGACUUAGGCUCGACAUUGCCGUGCCGCAAGCGUCCAAUCUCGCCUCCGCUGUCUUCGCUGGAACUCGUAUGCCCGUGCUCCUCCUGAGGUAUUUACUGUAUUUUGAAAAGAUCAAUACAAAUGUGUAAGCAAUGUGUGAGUACAUAUAAGAGGUAGUGCGUGCGUGCAUACAAAGAGAUAUUACAAUUUAAGUUGUUCAAAUUAUUUAAAACAACAAGUGACGAGUCGAUAUGCUGAUAUACAAAGACUCAUAGACAUGUUAAUCUAUGUACCAUUUAGAUGUGGCUCGGAACAUACACUAAAAAUUGAUAAGUCAGUAAAAGAAAAAAAAUCAUGAUGCAUAUCAUCGUUGAUCAGCAGUAAUUUUAGCUUAUUUAACAAUCAACGCAAACAAGGGAAUAAUGUACGCUUCUGGAACAAAUCAAUGAGAAGUCAGCAUUUUCACGUAUCUAAUUUGUUAUGCACACCAUAAGCAAGUUGAUUUGGAGAUCAAUCGUUUGAGCAAAAAGAUAGAAUCAAAAGUUCCCCUGGGAAGCACCACAUGUAUGAGCUUAGCAUAUAGAAGGCCAAUAGAUUUUAAUUUUGAAAAUAGGCAAAAACAAUAAUAAUAAUAGGACUAAUAAAAAAUAGCAAUGUGUGUAUCGAUUAUAUACAACAGCAGUUCCUGUUACAUAUCGAGUUGCAUGAGUUGAACCCAUGCAUAGUGUAUCAAUGGCUGCACCAGGGCCAUUUAGUUGAAAAACAGUUGAAAAAUAGAGAAAUACUCAUAGGUCUUAGCAUUAUAUAAAUCCUACCAGCUAGAAUGACUUAGCUGUAUCCUCUGUUUUCAUUUCACUUGGUAAGAUAAGUGUUGUUUGAAGAGUAAAUACUAUAUCAGCACAAAUGUCUAUUCCCCACAAGAAACUUAUAUCCUCUGUUUUCAUUUCACUUGGUAAGACGAGUGUUGUUUGAAGAGUAAAUACUGUAUCAGCAAAUGUCCAUGCUAACCAAAUUCCCAUCUUUAAUAAAUAAUAAUUGUUUACACUUUCCAAAACUCUCAUGCAGGCAGGCAGGCAUUUUUGACAAUAUCAAAGAAUGGAUGCUAAGGAGCAACGAAGGAAGAGAGAAAGAGAGCGCUAUGCAGAGAUGACCGACGAAAAAUAACAGGAAAAACUAAAACGCCGCGAAGCCUAUCAACAUCAGAAAGAGAAAAAAAAAGCAGAGCUCUAUGCACAGAUGACCGAUGAAGCACAGAUGAACGAUGAAGCACAGAUGGCUGAUGAAAAAAAGCAGCAAAAACUCGAAAAACGCUGUGAAGCCUAUCAACAAAAGAAAGAAAAAAGAGCAGAGCUCAAUGUACAGAUGACCGAUGGAGAAAAGCAGGAAAAACUCAAAAGACGCCGUGAAACCUAUCAACAAAAGAAAGAGAAGAUAUGUGCACAGCAUAGGCAGAUAUAUGCAAAUAUGCAGUCAGAACAAAAGAAAGCUAGAAUAGAACAUAUAAAUGAAUUGAAGCGCAGCACAGCAAACAAAGACUCAAUUGCGAUGCAAAACCCUGCAUAUAGCUCAACUGAACAAGAAGUUUGUAUUUCUACCCCUUCUGUAAAUCACAGAAAGCAUGUCACGCGAGGAGAAAGACAAACAUUGCUGCACCGCCGUAACAAACAAUUCACGACAAGACGGAGGAAAAAUGUUACAGUAUCAUCAAAAGAAGAUGCAUCCAUGACGGAAAUCGGCAACAAUGACACAGAGCCUCUACAUCAACCACAAGUAAUGAUUUACGGUAAAAAUCUAAAUUUGAUACAAUACUAGCAUUCAAAGUAAAUAUACAUGUGUUUGUACAACUAACCAUAUUUUGUGGACAGACAUCCCCUCAUCAAUGUUUCCAAGCAUGAAAGAAGCAGAUACCCCAACAAAGACAUUAUACAAUGGCGAUCACAAUAAGGUGGCUUCAUGGCCAGACAUCCCCUCUUCAAUGUCUCCUACAAUCAAAGAAGUAGAUGCACGAAUAGAAUCAUUCUACAAUGAUGUUCGCGGUAUGAUAAUCAAUUGGAUAUACUUUUAUACAAUACAAAAACUAUAUGCAUAUCUAUAUAAAUAAAAAAUUCUACACAACAAAUAAUAAAGUCAUGUGUGAGAAAGACACAGACAUCAAAGAAGCAGACGCACCAACACAAUCAAUCCACAAUGAGGAUCAUGGUAAGGUUAUCAAUUUCAUAUAUAUUGUUAUGAAGUACAGAGAAAUAUAAUAUAUAUAUAAGAUUACAACACAGGUAAUGACGAAAUCAUAUUUGAAGAAGAUACAAACGAGGACGAACACAUGUUCUCUGGUCAAGGUAUGCCCAAUACAAUUUAAAUAGAUUCGAAUCAUUAUAUUUCUCCUUUACUAAAAAUUUUAUGCUACAAACCAUACUAGAAUGGGGCAGAGAAGUGGAAAUUGAAAUCAAAGAAGACGAAGAAAUUCACAAGUCUGAUCCAUAUGAUUUUGUCUACAGUAACAUACCAAAAAACACACAUGUGCUCAAACCGGAAGAGAAUUGCAGAUUAUGUCAUGCAAAAAAAUUCAAGUAUGAAACUAAGGGGUUAUGCUGCAGAAAAGGACAGAUAAGACUGGCCAAUCCAGAUACACCACCUGAACUCAUGAGACUUUGGACAAGCAACGACUCUGAUGCAAGACAUUUUCGGCAAAAUGUAAGAUUUUUCAAUGGACACUUCUCAUUUACUACUCUAUAUUGUCACCUUGACAGAGACACAACUGACAUGCGAACAGCUGGUAUUUACACCUUUCGAGCUCAUGGUCAGAUCUAUCACAACAUACAUUCAUUUGGUAAUAGUCACUCAGAUCCAAAGCAUUUGGAGCUAUACUUCUACGACGAUGAUCCAAGCUUAGAGCAUCGAUAUCGUCGUUGCCGCGAGGAAAUGUAUGAGCAAGACAAGCAUGUGAUUGGAAUAAUAACCAACAUCCUACGCGGUAACCCGUACUCUCAACAGUUUAGGAGUUUGGGACAAGCCCAAAAUCUUGAGGACUACAGAGUCAUCUUGAACCUUGACCAAAGAUUGGACCAGAGAACAUACAACGCACCAAUCAAUUCAGAGGUAGCUGCAGUGUGGAUUGAAGGAAAUGAAAGAAGAGAUACUUAUGACAGGAGUGUAAUACUACAUGGGAACAACAACGAAAAAGAGCACAUUCGAUCAUAUUACGGGUGCUAUGAUCCGUUGUCGUAUCCUCUAUUCUUUCCAAGAGCUGAACUGGGUUGGCAUAGGAAAAUCCCAAAGAAGAAUACACAAGAGGAAGACAUUGGUGCUGAUAAUAUCAAUAAUGACGAGGACCCAGGUAAAAAAUUCAUAUACUAUUAUAUUCAAAAUUCAAUUUUCAUAUACGGUACAGUACAAACUUAUGCAACUAACUUUUUAUGUUGCAAUUUUUGCAUAGAUUCGGUCAACGGCUUGUGGGUAACCAUGAAAGAAUACUACUGCUAUAAAUUCCAUACAUGACCAAGCAUAUUCAACCCAAUAUUGCAUGGCGGACGGCUUUUCCAGCAGUUUGUUGUAGAUACAUACAUCAAGAUUGAAAGCUCCAGACUGGAUUACAUGUGGCAUCAUCAAAAGAAAAUAAGGGCAGAUCUAUACCAAGGCCUUCUAGACAGCAUUCAAGCCGGAGAACAGAAUGGAGAUGCAGUCGGAAAACGGAGAGUACUUGCCUCAUCAUUUAUUGGAGGGCCACGAGAUAAGCUUCGUCGGUAUCUGGAUGCGAUGGCUUUAGUUAGAAAAUAUGGAAAGCCAGACGUAUUCCUAACAAUGACCUGCAACCCCAACUGGGAAGAGAUCACACGUGAACUAGAGUUUGGACAAACACCACAAGAUCGCCCAGACAUUGUCGUUCGUGUUUUCAGGGCGAAGCUAGAAGAAAUGAAGAAGCAACUAUUUGAGAAGGCCAUUCUUGGAAAGGUUACGGCAUAUACAUAUGUCGUAGAGUUCCAAAAGAGGGGAUUACCCCAUGCUCACUUUUUGCUCAUCAUGACCGGAAAAUACAAGUACACAUGUCCAGAACAGUAUGACAGAAUCAUCUCCGCUGAGCUCCCUAACAAGCACAAGUACCCAGAGAUAUAUAAAAUGGUAAUCAAACAUAUGAUGCAUGGUCCUUGCGGUGCAUUGAAUAAAUUUUGCCCGUGCACAAAGAAUCGUCCGUCAUGCAAGAACAAUUAUCCAAGGCCAUUUAACGAAACUACGAUUCAAGGCAAGGACUCAUACCCAGUAUAUAGGAGACGCAAUGACGGCCGGACCGAAACGGUAAGAAAUUGCAAACUAGAUAACAGAUGGGUGGUUCCUUACAACCCCUAUCUGUUAAGGAUGUUCAACUACCACAUAAAUGUUGAGAUAUGCUCAAGCAUUAAAGCUGUUAAGUACCUCUUCAAGUACAUCUACAAGGGACAUGAUCGAGCAUCUGUAUCUGUAACCGACAAAGUAGAUGAAGUCAAAAUCGACGAGAUUAAACAGUACAGAGACGCACGGUGGGUGACUCCUCCGGAAGCAAUGUGGAGAAUAUAUGGCUUUGAACUAAGCAAAAUGCACCCACCAGUCUUGCAACUGCAGCUACAUCUCCCAAAUAUGCACAUGGUUUCAUAUCAUGGCACAGAAACAAUAAAGAAUGUUCUCGACCGUGAUGGCACGGAAAGAUCAAUGUUGACUGCGUACUUUGAAGCAAACAGUUUACAUGAGAAAGCACGAGGCAUACUAUACAGAGAUUUUCCGGAAUAUUAUACUUGGCAAAGACAAGAGAAGUUUUGGCAAGAGAGGAAGCGAGCCGCUGUGUUCCAGGUUGGCAGGAUCGUCUCAGCACACCCGGCUGAAGGAGAACGAUACUAUCUACGAGUCCUCCUCAACCACGUGACAGGCGCCACCAGCUACGAAGACCUACGAACAGUCAAUGGACAAGUAAUGCCAACCUUCCGUGAAGCUGCAGAAAAACGGGGGCUCAUUGAGGCAGACAACACAUUAGACGAAUGCAUGGCAGAAGCAGAGUUGUUUCGAAUGCCAUCAUCUCUAUGAAGGCUAUUCGCGACAAUCCUGGUUUUUUGCGAGCCCAGCGACGUCCGUGGUCUAUGGAACAAACACCUCGAGGCAAUGUCAGAGGACUACAGCAGAAACUGCAAAUGCAAGCACACGGUCGAACAAAUGGUGCUGAGAAAUCUUAGGGACAUGUUGCACUCAAUGGGAAAAGAUAUAGAAUCUUUUCCUCUUCCAGAGAUCGACACACAGCAUGAGAUGACAAACGGCGUGCCUAGGGAAAUCAUUGAGGAGACCUCCACACGAGGUGGACCCUGAGGGCACAUUGUUGCAUAAAAACCUAAAUACCGAGCAAAGGAUGGCCUAUGACGAAAUCCUAGCCACAGUUGACUGCCAAAGAGGAGGUAUAUUCUUUGUCGAUGGGCCGGGAGGCACAGGAAAACUUUUCUUUACAGGGCGCUCUUGGCCACAGUACGCGGACAAGGCAAGAUUGCAGUGGCGACAGCCACUUCCGGUGUUGCUGCUUCCAUAAUGCCUGGAGGGAGGACCGCACACUCAAGGUUCAAAAUUCCACUAAAAAUAGAUGAUGGUGCUAUUUGUAGCUUCACAAAACAAAGUGGGACAGCCAAGCUACUCCAAGCAGCAUCACUAAUAAUCUGGGAUGAAGCAUCUAUGACUAAGAGGCAAACAGUGGAGGCGCUAGACAAAAGCAUGAGGGACAUAAUGGACAGACCAGAUCUUCCUUUUGGUGGAAAAACGGUCGUAUUUGGGGGAGAUUUUAGACAAGUGCUCCCUGUUGUCCGAAAGGGAACAAGGGCCCAGAUAGUAGAUGCAUCGCUACGCACGUCAGAGCUCUGGAAUUGCAUGCGUCAGUUGAAGCUUGUGCGCAACAUGAGGGCUCAAAACGACCCUUGGUUCGCAGAAUACCUACUACGCAUUGGAAAUGGAACUGAGAAGACAAAUGAUGAUGGUGAAAUACUUCUACCUAGAAGUAUAUGUGUGGCAAAUAAGACGGAUGAUAAUGGCUUGGAUAGACUCAUUGACAGUAUCUACCAAACAGGCAAUGCUUCCCUAAUAAAGGAUCCAAAGUACAUCACAUCAAAAGCAAUUUUAUCCACAAGGAACGACUGCGUGGACAAAAUCAACUUAAAAAUGAUUGAUCGCUUCCAGGGGGAGGAGAUGGUGUACCACAGCUUUGAUUCCGUAGAAGACGACCCACAUAACUACUAUCCACCAGAAUACUUAAAUACCCUAACCCCAAAUGGACUGCCUCCACAUAUGUUGAAGCUCAAAAUAAAUUGCCCAAUCAUACUACUCAGGAACAUCGACCCUGCUAAUGGACUCUGCAACGGUACGAGGUUGGUCGUGCGUGGAUUUCAAAAAAAUGCAAUUGACACAGAGAUUGUGGUGGGACAGCACUCUGGAAUGCGAGUUUUCCUGCCUCGGAUACCAUUAUGUCCCUCUGACGAUGACAUGUUCCCGUUCAGUUUCAAGAGGAAACAGUUCCCAAUCAGGCUCAGUUUUGCAAUGACAAUAAACAAAUCACAAGGACAGACAAUACCAAAUGUCGGCAUCUACCUGCCUGAACCGGUUUCUUCACAUGGUCAGUUAUAUGUCGCGCUUUCUAGAGCAACUGCGACAUCAAACAUAAAGGUUCUAACAGGUACACGUGGUGAGAACAAGCAGAAGAAUAAAAAUACCACUACAUGCGACACAUACACAAAGGGAGAGAAGAAUAGGAAGAGCACUACAAGCGAGACAUAUACGAAAAAUAUUGUAUACACGGAAGUAUUAACCAAAUAGGUAAUGCAACCUUUUAAUUUCUUGUUCAAAAUUUCAGUUUCUACUUGGUAGGAUCAUCAUUUAAGAAAAACUUAAAAGUAUAUUUAUAUUUCGCAUUGCAUUGCUUCUUUUCUAACCUUAAAUAUAUUACUUGGAUUCUACAGGAACAUUAAAGCCAAGUGACAACUUCACAGUUGGAAUUCAAAACUUGAUCGUCUUGGAGGAGACUAAGACUAACUCAUUUGUGUAUAUACAAAUCAUUUAUGGUAUAUUUCUCAUGUAUAAUGUCCUGAGCGAACAAAUUAUGUGUCCACUAACUCAUUCAUGGUUUUUCUAUAGAAAUAAUUCUAAGUAUAUAUACAAAUUUAGCACCAAAAUGUGUAACUAAGGGCAGAAAGAGACUUACAAGCCAAAAUAAGAACAUAUUUGUCACCUUGGAAAUGCUGCUGUUGCCCAGAUUUUUCUAAACAUCACAUUCUCUACAUACCCCGAAACCUGAAAUAUAAACGACCAAUUAUGGCUGUACAAGCUGUACCAAAAUUUCUACUAUGCAAUCCUCAAAGAAUUUCGACUGCAAUUAUAUGUUUCUGCGUGAGAUUAACUGCUCCCAAGUGAAGCUUACUCCAAGAUUAGACAGUAGAAAAACAAAAACAGGAUCACCCAAAUUCUAUUUUUUUCUCUCCGAUUCUAAAAUGACUCUAAUGCUAACUUCAUUAUGCUGUCCUUUUUGACCAAAAUAUUGAGGAUCCCCGCCAAAUCAUUAUGCUGUCCUUUUCUCAUGGAUCAGUGGCAAAAUCUAUUAGAGAUGUUCUCCCAUCCUUUUUAGCCAAAUCCAACAUCACUAAAAAAGAGUCAAAUUCAAUCUAAAUAUAUUUUCGAGUGUGUGCUCUCUCAUGAGACUCUCAAAAUUUCCCCCGCGCGCGCGCACGCACGCACUCAAAUUUUUCCGCGCGCGCGCGCGCACACACACAAAUGUCACUGACAUGAGACACCAAGAUAAAACUUGAUCUCCAGAUGCAGAAACUCUACCAUGAAGCAAUGUCAUUCUGUCAUAGAAUCCCUUUCUUGCAAGUCAUGCCCCAAGUUGCCAUUUCUUAUAGUAGCCUAUUAAGAGCAAGGAUCCUAAAUUAAUAUCAACAAAAGUACCACUGUGUGUUCACCAUCCAACAAUGAUAUACUGUGUGGUAAACUCGAGUUCACAGUUGUCAAUACCUGAAUCCAUCAAGUAACUGGAGUAGUCGAGCACGUAAGCGAGCUGCGAGCGCCUUCCCGGAUUGAAUGUGGGAGCCAAGCACGAGGCCGACUAUCACAGGGGCACGAGACGCACUGAACCUCGGGCCGCUCCGAGAUGCCUGCUCCCGCAUCGUGUCCAGCACGCUCCUCUAGCUCGCAUCUGGAUCUGCGCUGGGACAUGUGUACGGCGACGGCAGAGUCGAUCUAGGGAAGACCGACGGUGUUAGCGGCAAGGCGAGGUUAUGGUGGGGAGAGGAGGCGGCGGCGCAAGGUCGUGGGGAGGGGGAGAGGAUGCGCUGGGCGACGAUGUGGCGGGAGAGGAUGCGGCGUGCGACUGCGUGCCGGGGAGAGGAGGCAGUGGGGAGAGCAGGUGAGGCCUCGCGCCGGCGGCGGGGACGAAAGGAAAGGGCGGCCUGAUGAGGUACUACGAGCAUAAUUGUUUUGCUACCAAUAUUUGGCUUGCCAAAUGUUGGCACUGCCGACUAUUGGC